CCGGCGACCGGCGGACGGGUGCGUAACGCGUAUGUAACCUACCUUUGACAGGGGGAUAACAUCGAGAAAUUGGUACUAAUACCCCACAACAUCACCGGAGGCAUCUUCGGUGGUUGAAAACUCAGGUGGUCAGAGAUGGACAUGCGUUGUAUUAGCUAGUUGGUGAGGUAACGGCUCACCAAGGCGACGAUACAUAGGGGGACUGAGAGGUCAACCCCCCACAUUGGUACUGAGACACGGACCAAACUCCUACGGGAGGCAGCAG
rnacentral:rRNA from 1 species